CUAUAUAAUCAACCCACCUUCUUCACUCCACCUUACACAACCUGCUCUCUUUAACAAAUCAUGAAUGAACCAAAACAUGAUUAUGCUUACCCUGCUCAAGGAGAAGGUUAUAAUCAAGAAUCGUCGGUGAUAGCACCACCUCAAUACGCCGCACCUCCUCCUCCCCGACGACGUGGUUUCUUUGAAGGCUGUCUAGCGGUUCUGUGUUGCUGUUGUUUUGCUGACGAGUGUUGCUGUGAUCCAAAUAUCAUUUGCUUCUGAUAGCUUUCCUUGUUGCGGUGAAUAGAAGAAAUAUGAAUUGUAGUUUGUUAUUGUUUUUUUUUUAGAUUUUAAUUUAAAUGUAUUUAUUUACUUUUUUAUGGUGUUCUAAUGAAUCCAUGUACUAGCACUUUGUGUUUGUGUCAAUAAAUUAGAAAUUUGUAAUGUUUAAUUGAAUUAUUAUUCAUAGUUUUUAAACAAUUUAUUUGAUGAUAAGAAGUUUUUGCUUUUGA